UGAGUGCUUGUAAAGGUUGUCUCCUAAACCUGUGAAAAGGAGAAGAUGGGUGUAAAAGGUGGUUGGUCUUCGCCUAUUGAAGGAAGAUCGAUAGUGGAUACCGAUGGCCUCGACGGAAGAGGAAUCGGUGGAGUGGAUAUAGGUCAAUUUGGUUUGCAUUUCCUUCUUACAAUUUACAUUAACUGCAAACUGACUUCAAUAUGCUCUUACUUUG
rnacentral:lncRNA from 1 species